GUGGCCGGGAAGUGCAAAACAAUAUUACAAAGUAUAAACACCUUUUACGAAGCUCGAGACAAAUUUACAUUUUGGAAAACAUUUUUACUUAUCAUAAAACACAAUUACAUGGGGAAAACACUUUUACCAAGAACGAAACAAAUUUACAUUUUAGAAAACAAAUUAACAAGAGGCAAAAAACUUUUACCAGCCCGAAACAAAUUUACAAUGACAGAUUUUUCACGGAAAGGGAAUGUACCACACACCGGAAGUGACGCGGUGAAAGGUGUUGUUGUUGUUGGUGAGCGCGGUAAAUUCGUGUGGUUGUGGAGUAAAUGGCAUAAAUGAAGUUUAUGGUGUCAGAACAUGGACUGCGGCCAAGGGAGGUUUUGCGGCAAACACAUGAACAGCUUAACGCGGUUUUGCUUCACGUGCGAUCGUUGUCUGGAGUUUCUAAACGACGCGGACCAGACGGAAACACAGGAGAUGUCUCGACAGCCGGACAGUGCUAAUCAAACAGAACAACCAUGCCCAUCAUACAAACAGUUCAUGGAGUAAAGAAGCUCAAAGACAAAAGAAGUCUUUUAACUAUGGGCCAAAAGGAAGAUUUACGCCUAAAGAAAGAAAACACGUCCAGAAGGCCAGGCUGCUUUGUCUGUGGAAGAUGUUUUGAUGUUUGCUACUGGGCUGUCUUCACUUCUGCCAUCUGGAUUGGAACCACUGCCACAAAUAGAGUUCCUGGAUGACUCUACGUUCCCAAUAGCAAAUACAGUUUGACCGGCCAUAAAUCGGAACCGGACGGUUUUUGCUUAAAAUACGCGAUCAGUCUUUUUUCGUCUGUUUUUUCUGGAAGUGUGCCCGCAUACAUUGUAAUCAUUUGCUAUCAUGUCAUUUGUGUGGAAGUAUUUUCGAAAUCUCUGCGCAGGACAAGGGCAGCUGUUCAGCUCUGGAAGGGCAUCGAUACAUGUCUGAGGCACAGGAAGCAAGCAGCUGUUGGUGUACUGGUUCACAAAUAAAAGCCUUUCCUGCACACUGAAGCUGCGCGAGCGCACAAGCGGAGACAGUGAAGAGAUCUUCAGCUCAACUUCUCGCCUGUUGGAUGAGAAACGAAACAGACUAAACAGUGACAUACACAUUUGAAAAGACAGAAGUAAAUGUCAGUUCGUAUAGGAUGAUUUUAUUUUACCUUAAAAUUACAUCGACUUAAUUUGAUUUAAAAAUCACCUGCUGUAGCACACUGAAAAAAGUGUUUCAUUCAUCCAAUUAAAAAAUUCAGAUUCACAUCUGUAUUUUUUUUUUAACUUGAGACAAAACUUAUUUAUUUUUCAUUGGCUCAAGUAAAAAAAAUAUAGAUGUGAAUCAUUACCCUAAUUUUUUAUUUUUUAAUUGGAUGAAUGAAACACUUUGCAUCUUUGUUUUAUUCCCACCAACAUACUUUUAUUUAGUUUCACUGGUAAAUACCUUUUUUUAAUUUUAAACCAAAUUUAAAAACUAAAAUACUGAAUGCUGAUUAAGAAACAUCUUAUUGAAUGUGUGUUGAUUGUGUUGUUUGGAAUCUAGAACUAUGCAGUUAUUGCAUUUAAUUUCACAUGGUUACAGUUAAUCUUUUCAUUUAAGGCCAGUUCUAUGUAGUUUUAACCAAAUUCAGAAACAGAAGCUAAAUGCUGAUGUCUGUACCAUCUAUGUUUGUAUUGAAUGUAGUCUACUUACUGCACAGUUACUGCUGUUAAUUUCAGAUGGUUACGGUUAUUUUUUUCAAUAGCCAAAAGCCAGUUUGGCCCAUUUAAUACCAAAUAAACAUCUUAUUUAUGCAUACUUUCCUUCUUUCUUGUUUGUUGCUUAAAGAAAAAAAAACUGAAAUCUGUAUCUGAAUCGGCAAAAUCAUGAUCAGUGCAUC